GGUGUGUAGCGGUUAUCACAUGGGAUUCUGAUUUUCCCUCGCCCACACUUGAUACAAAACUUCCCAUGACCCAGGUUCGAUUCCUGGCAGGACCU